rfam:Helianthus annuus linkage group 14, whole genome shotgun sequence.
AUGGAUAUGAUGAUUAUUUCCCCAGAUGAUCGAAUCUGAAAUAACUGAGCGCUCCUUUUUAUUUUUCUCCUUGCUGAGAAAAAUCCAAGCCAGAAAUCUGAUCCAU